rnacentral:rRNA from 1 species
UACAGAGGUCUCAAGCGUUGUUCGGAUUUACUGGGCGUAAAGCGCGUGUAGGCGGGAGAUUAAGUCGGGUGUGAAAGCCCGGGGCUCAACCCCGGGAUGCCGCCCGAGACUGGUCUCCUUGAGGACGGAAGAGGGGAGUGGAAUUCCUGGUGUAGCGGUGAAAUGCGUAGAGAUCAGGAGGAACACCCGUGGCGAAGGCGGCUCCCUGGUCCGUUUCUGACGCUGAGACGCGAAAGCGCGGGGAGCGAACGGG